rnacentral:rRNA from 1 species
CCUACGGGUGGCAGCAGUGGGGAAUAUUGCUCAAUGCGCGUAAGCCUGAAGCAGCAACGCCGCGUGGAGGACGCAGGCUUUCGGAUUGUUAACUCCUUUUGUUAGAGAAGAAAAUGCCUGUAUCUAACGAAUAAUCACGUGUUCACGCCGUGACAGCAGCCGCGGUAUUACUGCGGGUGCACGCGUUACUCGGAAUGCCUGGGCGGAAAGAGCGCGUAGGCGGGAUAGCAAGUCAGAUGUGAAAUCCUAGCGCUUAACCUUAGAACUGAUUUUGAUACUGUGAUUCUAGAGUAUGGGAGAGGUAGGUGGAAUGCUUGGUGUAGGGGUAAAAUGCGUAGAGAUCAGGAGGAAUACUGAUUGCGAAGGCGGCCUUCUGG